rnacentral:snRNA from 1 species
AGAUAUGAGGGCAAUAUGGCUGAGACAUCUGUCAUCUCACUGAUUGCCGUGGUUGAGUCAGCUGAUCUGACUCGCUAGAUAAAUGUCCUCCCACUCCCUUUCUGUCCCACAUGUGCCCUUCCAAAGCUGCAUGCUCCAUUGAAAAUGACCUUCUCCCAUAGAGGAAGACCAUCCUCCAGUCAAGAGUAUAACUGCAGUCCCCAGCUAGAACCUCCGAAUAGGCCCUCAAGGCCAAAUGCUGCCCCGCCAGCCUAGCUGAGGCAGGAACCAUUACAUGGCUUUGUGCUUAC